rnacentral:rRNA from 1 species
GGGUUCGGAGUCGAGUCUCCCGCGAGCCUCACUCCCACCCGUGUCUACCGUUACCGCGUUGCUUUGGCGGGCCCACUGGAGCCUGUCGGCCUGGUCGCCGGGGGGCUGUUGCCCCCGGGUCCGCGCCCGCCGAAGCGCCCUUGAACCCUGCGUGAAUAGUGAGUCUGAGUCUCGAUUGAAUCGUUAAAACUUUCAACAACGGAUCUCUUGGUUCCGGCAUCGAUGAAGAACGCAGCGAAAUGCGAUAAGUAAUGUGAAUUGCAGAAUUCCGUGAAUCAUCGAAUCUUUGAACGCACAUUGCGCCCUCUGGCAUUCCGGAGGGCAUGCCUGUCCGAGCGUCAUUUCUGCCCUCCAGCACGGCUGGGUGUUGGGCGCUGUCCCCCCGGGGACACGCCCCAAAGGCAGUGGCGACGCCGCGUCGAGUCCUCGAGCGUAUGGAGCUUUGGUCACCUGCUCGGGAGGGAUUCGCCGGCUUCGGUCUUCCCCGAUGGGCCCUGUACAGGGCCGAUCUUUUCGGUUGACCUCGGAUCAGGUAGGGCUACCCGCUGAACUUAAGCAUAUCAAUAAGCGGAGGA